rnacentral:lncRNA from 1 species
UACAUCCUUCCACUGCGCCGAUAUCUCUCCACUUCUUUUAUUCAGAUCGGUGCUUCAAAUCGCAGAUCCAAAUCAGGAUCUGCUGAUGAAAGUGCAAAAAUGGCUCAGAUUAUAACAAGUUGGUACAAAGGCCGGCUAAAGAUCGGUGAUUCUUGGAUUAGUCAGAAUCAUGUAUGGGUUCUCUUGAAAUGCGUUAAAUUGGAUUCAGUAGAAGUGUUUCUUUCCCCUUAUCCUUGUUAAACAUAUCGAACAUGGACGAGAAGAAAAACAACGCUUCGCGAAACCUCGUGAUAAAAGAAGGUGCAUUGUACGAGCCAUUAACAGCACCCUGGAUAAAGAUAGUGGGCUGCAUUUUCCAAAUAAGGUUCAACACUUUCCGCGUAAUUCGCGAGCCAACUGCCCGUCUCCUCGACCCGCUGGGACGGUUUGAAACCGGGACACGGGAAGUCAAUGCCGGUGAUUCGAAGCUCCGGUGGACCACCGGGCCGUUUCGAGAGACGUUGUAUGAAGCAUGGCCAUUGAAAGCCGUAAAGAAUACCGAAAUCGACUAUAUGCAGCUUCUUCUUGUUUUCGGCAAUAUGUAAAAUCAAUGUUUUAAAUACCGGUAUGAACCGGCCGGUUAUACCAGUUAAACCGGAUAUUGGACAUGAGUCCGGUACGAUAAGGCCGGUAAAACCCGAAUACGGUAUGUCUUAUGUACCGGCGGUAAAUCCGGUUCUACCGUUCAAACCGUUGAACCGGUUUGCAUUUUCUUAAGAUUUGAUUUCUUAAUUUUAAUAAAAUACGAUGUUAAGGUAAUAUUGUUCUUCCAUAUUUCCGGUAAUUAAUCUAGUGUCUUCUAUUCCA